UGAACUCUCGUUAAGGAACUCGGCAAAAUGACCCCGUAACUUCGGGAGAAGGGGUGCUGAUCGCAAGAUCAGCCGCAGUGAAUAGGCCCAGGCGACUGUUUAUCAAAAACACAGGUCUCUGCAAAAUCGUAAGAUGACGUAUAGGGGCUGACGCCUGCCCGGUGCUGGAAGGUUAAAAGGAUGGGUUAGCUUCGGCGAAGCUCAGAAUUGAAGCCCCAGUAAACGGCGGCCGUAACUAUAACGGUCCUAAGGUAGCGAAAUUCCUUGUCGGGUAAGUUCCGACCCGCACGAAAGGCGUAACGAUCUGGGCACUGUCUCAACGAGAGACUCGGUGAAAUUAUAUUGUCCGUGAAGAUGCGGACUACCCGCGACAGGACGGAAAGACCCCAUGGAGCUUUACUGUAGCUUGAUAUUGAGUGUUUGUACAGCUUGUACAGGAUAGGUAGGAGCCAUAGAAACCGGAACGCUAGUUUCGGUGGAGGCGUUGGUGGGAUACUACCCUCGCU
rnacentral:rRNA from 1 species